rnacentral:rRNA from 1 species
UUGGGGUUCGAUUAAGCCAUGCGAGUCGCGAGAAAUUAGAUUCUCGGCGUACCGCUCAGUAACACGUGGGUAACCUGCCCUAUGCUGGAUAAUAACCUCGGGAAACUGAGUAUAAUGAUCCAUAGUUCACUACGCCUGGAACGGUGAGUGGACGAAAGCUCCGGCGGCAUAGGAUGGGCCUGCGGCGUAUCAGGUUGUAGGGGGUGUAACGUACCCUCUAGCCCUCUACGCGUACGGGUGUUGGGAGACAUAGCCCGGAGAUGGAUUCUGAGACACGAAUCCAGACCCUACGGGGUGCAGCAGGCGCGAAAACUUGGCAAUGCGAGAAAUCGUGACCAGGGAACUCCAAGUGCAUCGGGUAAGACCGGUGCUUUUCUUGACUCUAAAUAGGUCUUGGAAUAAGGGGUGGGUAAGGACGGUGCCAGCCGCCGCGGUAAUACCGGCGCCUCAAGUGGUAGUCGCUUUUAUUGGGCCUAAAACGUCCGUAGCCGGUCUGAUACAUUCGUGGGUAAAUCAACCAGCUCAACUGGUUGAAUUCUGCGAGGACGGUCAGACUUGGGACCGGGAGAGGUGUGGGGUACGCUCAGGGUAGGGGUAAAAUCCUGUCAUCCUGAGCGGACCACCUGUUGCGAAGGCGCCACACUAGAACGGAUCCGACGGUCAGGGACGAAGCCUAGGGGCACGAACCGGAUUAGAUACCCCCGGUAGUUCCUAGGUGUAAACGCUG